rnacentral:ncRNA from 2 species
GCUCAAGAGUGUCAGCGUCAAGAUCCGGCUCGCUGACCGGCAACCCUUCUCCGCGAUGGGGUGCCCCGGAGAUAGAGCCGGCCGGCUUGUCCGGCAAUUCGCGGCUC